rnacentral:rRNA from 1 species
GAUGAACGCUGGCGGCGUGCCUAAUACAUGCAAGUCGAGCGAACAGACGAGGAGCUUGCUCCUCUGACGUUAGCGGCGGACGGGUGAGUAACACGUGGAUAACCUACCUAUAAGACUGGGAUAACUUCGGGAAACCGGAGCUAAUACCGGAUAAUAUAUUGAACCGCAUGGUUCAAUAGUGAAAGACGGUUUUGCUGUCACUUAUAGAUGGAUCCGCGCCGCAUUAGCUAGUUGGUAAGGUAACGGCUUACCAAGGCAACGAUGCGUAGCCGACCUGAGAGGGUGAUCGGCCACACUGGAACUGAGACAGGGUCCAGACUCCUACAGGAGGCCGCAGUAGGGAAUCUUCCGCAAUGGGCGAGAGCUUGACGGAGCAACACCGCGUAAGUGAUGAAGGUCUUCGGAUCGUAAAACUCUGUUAUUAGUGGAGAACAAAUGUGUAAGUAACUAUGCACGUCUUGACGGUACCUAAUCAGAAAGCCACGGCUAACUACGUG